CGGUGGAGCAUGUGGUUUAAUUCGAUGCAACGCGAAGAACCUUACCAGGACUUGACAUGUCGCGAAUCCUCUGGAAACAGAGGAGUGCCUUCGGGAGCGCGAACACAGGUGGUGCAUGGCUGUCGUCAGAUCGUGUCGUGAGAUGUUGGGUUAAGUCCCGCAACGAGCGCAACCCUCGUGUUUAGUUGCCAUCAUUAAGUUGGGCACUCUAAACAGACUGCCGGUGACAAACCGGAGGAAGGUGGGGAUGAC
rnacentral:rRNA from 1 species